ACAAAUACAAUAUACCCCAUUUACUCUUCGAGUACCGGGUAUAAAAAGAACGAAAGGCAAUUUUCAAAAAUGCUGUUUCUCGUUCUCUUUUCUUCUCGCUAAUGAGAACGUGCAUACAGAUUUGAUCAUCUGAAAAGCAGUAAAUAACUAAAAAUUUAAAUUUUAAAUCAAUAUUUAAUUACGUAAGUAUUAGCAGAGUGUUAAUGCAGUUUGACUGCAUCUAAAGAAUAUGAAAGAAACAACGAUGUAGUGUGGUAAGUGCGCUGAAUUUUCCAGAAGAAAAAA